GACGAACGCUGGCGGCGUGCUUAACACAUGCAAGUCGAACGAUGAAGCCGGAGCUAGCUCCGGUGGAUUAGUGGCGAACGGGUGAGUAACACGUGAGCAAUCUGCCCUUGACUCUGGGAUAACUGCGGGAAACUGUAGCUCAUACCGGAUACGACACCUUGGGGCAUCCCAGGUUGUGGAAAGAAUUUCGGUCAAGGAUGAGCACGCUGCCUAUCAGCUAGGUGGGGAGGUAAUGGCUCACCAAGGCGACGACGGGUAGCCGGCCUUGGAGGGUGACCGGCCACACUGGGACUGAGACACAGUCCAGACACCUACGGGAGGCAGCGGUGGGGAAUAUUGCACAAUGGGCGAAAGCCUGAUGCAGCAACGCCGCGUGAGAGAUGAAGGCCUUCGGGUUGUAAACCCCUUUUAGCAGGGAAGAAGCGAAAGUGACGGUACCUGCAGAAAAAGCACCGGCUAACUACGUGCCAGCCGCCGCCGUAA
rnacentral:rRNA from 1 species